rnacentral:rRNA from 1 species
GACGAACGCUGGCGGCGUGCCUAAUACAUGCAAGUAGAACGCUGAAGAGAGGAGCUUGCUCUUCUUGGAUGAGUUGCGAACGGGUGAGUAACGCGUAGGUAACCUGCCUGGUAGCGGGGGAUAACUAUUGGAAACGAUAGCUAAUACCGCAUAAAAUUGAUUAUUGCAUGAUACUUAAUUGAAAGAUGCAACUGCAUCACUACCAGAUGGACCUGCGUUGUAUUAGCUAGUUGGUGAGGUAACGGCUCACCAAGGCGACGAUACAUAGCCGACCUGAGAGGGUGAUCGGCCACACUGGGACUGAGACACGGCCCAGACUCCUACGGGAGGCAGCAGUAGGGAAUCUUCGGCAAUGGGGGGAACCCUGACCGAGCAACGCCGCGGGAGUGAAGAAGGUUUUCGGAUCGUAAAGCUCUGUUGUAAGAGAAGAACGGGUGUGAGAGUGGAAAGUUCACACUGUGACGGUAUCUUACCAGAAAGGGACGGCUAACUACGUG